ensembl:lncRNA
CAGUUAUAAGUGAGCAGAAGAUGAAGUCCCUCCCAUCUCCGGAGAUGUUUGCAAGGCAGUUUUUUACCCUCCUGUUUACCUGGCUGUUUAGGAUUGGUGGUACAGGUGCCUCUGUGCCGCUCUGCAGUGGUGUUUAACGCACAGGCCGACACCAGCAAUCGGAAACAGUCCGCCCCUCUGCCCACGGUCGCUUCCCCUCCCUCCGCAGUCGGAGAUCGUAACACAGGGACACUGAAGAUGUUCAAGCGCUUUAGCUGGGUGGGAUCCAGUCCCACGUGUCUCCUUCCUACUUUGGAGUCUGAGCCCCAGCAGAUGUCUGAAUUCCCUGAGCUGGACGGAAGGGGAGGAACAGACAAACCCAUCUCUACUAGCGUGUCCAGUGCGACGAACAAAGAAAGGAUGGCAAAUCCGAAGCUGCUGCAGCUGGUGCCCUCCUGGGAUCUGAACCCACAACCUACUGGUCACGUGUCCUGGGAAGAGAGAGAAGCCCGUGAGCUUGCAGCAAAGUGCAGCAGUGGAAGACCUUAAAGAGCUGUCAGAAGUGGGAUUCGAACCCACGCCUCCAGAGGAGACUGCGACCUAAGCGCAGCGCCUUAGACCACUCGGCCAUCCUGACUCCUAUUAGUUAUAUUUGUCACAGCCAGUUCCUCAUUAGUAUAGUGGUGAGUAUCCCCACCUGGACACUUUCUAGUUAUAUACCCAACUCCUUCUGGAUGCCCUCUAGUUAUAUACCCUCCUCCCUUUAGUUAUAAACACAUAUAUAAACUGGAUAAUUUCAGGAAAAUGUCCACCCGAAGAGCUGGAAAAGUGCACAUUUAACUGACAAGCACAAUGACGCGAGCAGCAGCUACAAGCAGAGCCACAAGUAGCUGAGGGACGUGAACGAUGUAAGAGGAUCCAGGUGCGAAAUGGGUCGAUGGCUUUGAUCCUGGAGGUGGCGCCGAGGUCUCCUGCGGGACCACCGUGGCUCAUCGACGCGGGUGUCGGGAUGCACUGUAACACGUCCAAAAGCCUGAGUCGCACGCAGAACUCGGACUGCGUGUGAAGGCGAACAACUGAGUGUGUGUGUGUGUGUGUGUGUGUGUGUGUGUGUGUGUGUGUGUGUGUGUGUGUGUGUGUGUGUGUGUGUGUGUAAGUGGGUGUUUGGGGAGCAGGUACAGCCGAUCAGAGCAAUAUCGACUGAUUAAAAACCCACUGCACAACUCUUUAGUCCCCUACAAGGAGCAGACACAGAAGGGAAGCGGCUCCCCCGGGGCUCAUGGGGGGGGGGGUGUGGGCGGCCUUGCCCUGGAUUCGCAUAAUAAGAUUAUAUCCCAGACUCCUGGGGCCCGUUCCACCCUCCCGGACACUAACAGGCUUCUAGAGGAGGGAGUCCCAGACGCUCCGGGUUCGAGAUUACAAGCGCAAACGCUCCCCCGAUUACUUGGAACGCUAGGUGGCCCCCAGGGGUUUUGAACACCUCCGGCUACAGUGCAGGACCUCCGCGUUCUGGACACGUCACACACCGGCAGGUCUGCUCACUUCCUUCACCACAGCUGGCGCCCAGUUGCUUUAAUACGCUUGUUUUCCUCAUGUCUGUUUGUAUAUGAACUGAGAAAAAAGACCCCGUUAGUUGAGUAUUAGUGUCCGGUUUUCAUACUGUCCCCUCUGCUUACAAACACAACUGGGACUGGAAGUCUGUUUGUAACUCCAUUUGUUUGUAACUCCUAACUUCCCUUUUACCACUAAGUCACAACCAAUAAAAGCCACGUAAUGCAGACGUCCCUUCA